GUUGGUUAUAGCAAGAGAAUCUCUGGCCACCAGUUGGUCUGUUGCACGUAAACAGGAUGUGGGAAUGAGUCAAGGUGCAGGAGAGCCUGUCCUCUGUCCCUAAUGCAGUUCUUAGAUGCCUAAAUAAUGUGAAUUUUAAAGACAGAGACACUUUGCUUGCACAUUUUCUGGAAAGUGAGCAGGCAGCUCAGCCACCAGUGUUAGACUCAGGGACCUCCUCCAUCAGUUCCGUGGUAGAGAAUGGAGCACUUCCGAACCCCCCAGAGGAUUGGCUGCCCUGCGCUUCCUACACAGGUACGUGGCUGGAUUUGCUUUGCUCAAGUCUACAAAUCAAUUUAGAAGCACCCUAAUCCUCCCCGGGAUGACAAACAAGAAGAAGCAACACAGAACACCAGUGAGAAAACAGCCCUGAGAUCAUUAAGUGAAGUUCUCCUUAGACGACAGACACCAGAAGACAAAGACAUUUACAGAGCCACCCUUGGGAGCCCAGUUGUCAUCUUGGCUCAGGAAGUCCCCACAUUCAUCUGCUAGGUGUAGAAGCCAUCCGGAGCUCUGCUGCGGGCCAUCUGGGACUAGAAAUUUGCCUGGAGUUUGUAAGCAGGAGCCCCUUCCAAGAGCAGAGAAAGCAUAGCCUGGGGCACGGGCCCUGUGGCUCCGGAGCACCUCUGGAAGGGACACACCCCAGGAAGACGCGCGGGGGCCCUCCUGGCCGCCUCUGUUGAAAAGCACCAGGAGGUUCCGGAUAACCACGGGAGGACAAACACAGGUUUGUUUCUCUACAUCCAGAAAACCCAAGAUGUCAGUAAAAGACGAUGAAGGUGUAAAAUAAAAAGAAAAACUAUUAGAGAAGUGAUCACCACAAAUGGAAGAUGCCAAGACAUGCCCGUGGCUGGGAAGCUGAGGUGGGUGGGGGGCAGAGGAAGGUCACAGCGAGCUGCUUGCAGAGGGAUGGGGACAGCACUGGUCUCCAGGAGGGAGACCCACUGUGGGGACAGAUCCCCACCGAGCCGAG
rnacentral:lncRNA from 10 species